rnacentral:rRNA from 1 species
CAAGUCGAACGAGAAAGGGAGCAAUCCUGAGUAAAGUGGCGCACGGGUGAGUAACACGUGGGUAAUCUACCCUCUGGUGGGGAAUAACUCUGGGAAACCGGAGCUAAUACCGCAUAAGACCGGGAGGUGAAAGGGCGAAAGUUCGCCGGAGGAGGAGCCCGCGGCCGAUUAGCUAGUUGGUAGGGUAAGAGCCUACCAAGGCUGAGAUCGGUAGCCGGCCUGAGAGGGCACACGGCCACACUGGCACUGAAACACGGGCCAGACUCCUACGGGAGGCAGCAGUGGGGAAUCUUGCACAAUGGAGGAAACUCUGAUGCAGCGACGCCGCGUGAGUGAUGAAGCCCUUCGGGGUGUAAAGCUCUUUCGACCCGGAAGAUAAUGACGGUACGGGGAGAAGAAGCUGCGGCUAACUACGUGCCAGCAGCCGCGGUAAUACGUAGGCAGCGAGCGUUGUUCGGAGUUACUGGGCGUAAAGCGUGCGUAGGCGGUGUCUUAAGUUUGUUGUGAAAUCUCCCGGCCUAACCGGGAGGGUGCGGCGAAUACUGAGAUGCUGGAGUGCCGGAGAGGUAAGCGGAAUUCCUGGUGUAGCGGUGAAAUGCGUAGAUAUCAGGAGGAACACCUGCGGUGUAGACGGCUUACUGGACGGUAACUGACGCUGAGGCACGAAAGCGUGGGUAGCAAACAGGAUUAGAUACCCUGGUAGUCCACGCCCUAAACGAUGCAUACUUGGUGUGGGCAGUUCAGUCUGUCCGUGCCGAAGCUAACGCGAUAAGUAUGCCGCCUGGGGAGUACGGUC